AGAAUGAACGCUAGCGAUAGGCCUAACACAUGCAAGUCGAACGCAUACUUUAUAGUAUGAGUGGCAAACGGGUGAGUAACACGUGAGAGAUCUACCUUACAGCCCGGUAUAAUGAAGGUAUAAAAUAUUUUUUAUACAAUAAGAAUUCCGGAUAAUUCAUAAAGGCAAAGAACCGUUGUAAGAUGAGCUCGCGUAGGAUUAGGUAGUUGGUAAGGUAAAAGCUUAUCCAAGCCGAUGAUCCUUAGUUGGUCUGAGAGGAUGAUCAGCCACACUGGGACUGAGACACGGCCCAGACGCUUUCGAGCGGCAGCAGUGAGGAAUUUUGGACAAUGGGCGAAAGCCUGAUCCAGCUAUAUCGCAUGAAUGAAGAAGGCUCAAUUGGUUGUAAAAUUCAUAUUUUCAAACAAGAUUGUGACAUAAAUGAAAAGAAUAGUCCCGACCAACUCCGCGCCAGCAGCCGC
rnacentral:rRNA from 1 species